rnacentral:rRNA from 1 species
CCCAGACUCCUACGGGAGGCAGCAGUGAGGAAUAUUGGUCAAUGGCCGAGAGGCUGAACCAGCCAAGUCGCGUGAGGGAAGACGGCCCUACGGGUUGUAAACCUCUUUUGUCGGGGAGCAAAGCGAACCACGUGUGGUUCAUUGAGAGUACCCGAAGAAAAAGCAUCGGCUAACUCCGUGCCAGCAGCCGCGGUAAUACGGAGGAUGCGAGCGUUAUCCGGAUUUAUUGGGUUUAAAGGGUGCGUAGGCGGGCUUUUAAGUCAGCGGUAAAAAUUCGGGGCUCAACCCCGUCCGGCCGUUGAAACUGGGGGCCUUGAGUGGGCGAGAAGAAGGCGGAAUGCGUGGUGUAGCGGUGAAAUGCAUAGAUAUCAGGAGGAACAUCGGUGGCGUAAGCGCUUUACUGGGCCGUAAUUGACGCUGAGGAACGAAAGCCAGGGUAGCAAAUGGGAUUAGAUACCCUUGUA